rnacentral:rRNA from 1 species
GGUAAAAAGCUCGUAGUUGGAUUUCUGUUGAGGAUGACCGGUCCGCUCUUUGAGCGCGUAUCUGGUUCAGCCUUGGCAUCCUCUUGGGGAACGCUACUGUGCUUGAUUGCAUGGGGCGGUAUUCAAGACUUUUACUUUGAGGAAAUUAGAGUGUUCACUGCAAGCGUUAGCAAUUUAAUACAUUAGCAUGGAAUAAUAAUAUAGGACCUUGGUACUAUUUUGUUGGUUUCUAGAACUAAGGUAAUGAUUAAUAGGGACAAUUGGGGGCAUUCGUAUUAACGCGUCAGAGGUGGAAUUCUUAGAUUGCGUUACGACGAACUACUGCGAAAGCAUUUGCCAAGGAUGUUUUCAUUGAUCAAGAACGAAAGUAUGGGGAUCGAAGACGCUUAGAUACCGUCGUAGUCUAUACCAUAAACUAUGCCAACUAGAGAUUGGAGGUCGUUCUCUUUAUGACUCCUUCAGCACCUUAUGAGAAAUCAAA